GACGAACGCUGGCGGCGUGCUUAACACAUGCAAGUCGAACGGAAAGGCCCUGCUUUUGUGGGGUGCUCGAGUGGCGAACGGGUGAGUAACACGUGAGUAACCUGCCCUUGACUUUGGGAUAACUUCAGGAAACUGGGGCUAAUACCGGAUAGGAGCUCCUGCUGCAUGGUGGGGGUUGGAAAGUUUCGGCGGUUGGGGAUGGACUCGCGGCUUAUCAGCUUGUUGGUGGGGUAGUGGCUUACCAAGGCUUUGACGGGUAGCCGGCCUGAGCGGGUGACCGGCCACAUUGGGACUGAGAUACGGCCCAGACUCCUACGGGAUGCAGCAGUGGGGAAUAUUGCACAAUGGGCGGAAGCCUGAUGCAGCAACGCCGCGUGCGGGAUGACGGCCUUCGGGUUGUAAACCGCUUUCUCCUGUGACGAAGCGUGAGUGACGGUAAUGGGUAAAGAAGCACCGACUAACUACGUG
rnacentral:rRNA from 1 species